UUAGGAAUAUUCGUCAAUGGGGGAAACCCUGAACGAGCAAUGCCGCGUGAGUGAUGACGGUCCUCUGGAUUGUAAAACUCUGUUGAGAAGGAAGAAAAACUACAAUAGGAAAUGAUUGUAGCUUGACGGUACUUCUUUAGAAAGCUCCGGCUAACUACGUGCCAGCAGCCGCGGUAAUACGUAGGGAGCGAGCGUUAUCCGGAUUUAUUGGGCGUAAAGCGUUCGUAGGCGACUUGUUAAGUAUGAAAUUAAAGCCCGAGGCUCAACCUCGGUUCGUUUCAUAAACUGGCAGGAUUGAGUAUGGUAGAGGUAAGUGGAAUUUCUAGUGUAGCGGUGGAAUGCGUAGAUAUUAGAAGGAACACCAGUGGCGAAGGCGACUUACUGGGCCAUUACUGACGCU
rnacentral:rRNA from 1 species